rnacentral:rRNA from 1 species
UACGUAGGGGGCUAGCGUUGUCCGGAAUCAUUGGGCGUAAAGAGCGUGUAGGCGGUCCGGUAAGUCCGCUGUGAAAGUCGGGGGCUCAACCCUCGAAUGCCGGUGGAUACUGUCGGGCUAGAGUGCGGAAGAGGCGAGUGGAAUUCCCUGGUGUAGCGGUGAAAUGCGCCAGAUAUCAGGUGGAACACCAGUGGCGAAGGCGGCUUUCUGGACGGUAACUGACGCUGGAGACGCGAAAGCCGUGGGGAGCAAACAGG